rnacentral:lncRNA from 1 species
AUUGCCCAGAGUCUAAGUACAGACUCAUGUCUAGAUCGAGGUUUAUUUUUGUGUAGAAGUUUCCUGGCCACAGAGUUUCAAAUGGGGGUGUGUUCCGUCCACUUAUGGUAGGCAACUGUCCCCAGAGAGGACUCACAGAAGGCGGAGCAUCACUUGUGAAAACUACUCCUUAUUGCAAGUGACAUUUUCCUGAAAUACCAUCGUCUGGUCUAGACUGAAGUUUCAGAAGAAGUGCCUUUCCCUUGAAGAGGAGUUUCCUUGUGGCUUUCAAACUCCUACAUCAAACAGCUCCGUUCUAUCAACCGGCAUUAGCCAGAAAUCAAGAUGAAAACACAGCCAGGCUCCCUGGCCUUGGCAAAAGGAUUAAAAAGCUUCCCUUUCCGUGUUUAUUUAUGGAACUUGGGCCAAGGUCCCGAUCUUAUUUCCAACCACUUUAGGGGGUCUUAAUCCCCCUGGGAUGUCAGCCACCUGGGGCCCUGACUGCAGAGUUUUCACACUACAGCACUGGUCUUUGAAAGAAAGUUCUGUGGGCUGAAGUUCUAAUGCUCAUACGUGUAAAUUACACGGAUGUACUUGCUUGGAAAAUGAAUCACACGGUGGAAAAUCUAGCACUAGGAGGCCACUAUACAUUUAACUCACAUUUUUAUUUUUCAUUUUUGUCUUUUAGAAAUUAUUUUAUCUACUUAUUUAUUAUUAUUAUCAUCAUCAUUAUUAUUAUUGAAUCUUUUUUUACAGUCCAGUCAUUAGCUCCCCUCCCAGUCCACCCUCUGACUGUUCCUCAUCCCAUACCUCCUCCCCCAACUCCAAGAGGAUGUCCCGUCUUGUUUUCUUAUUUAAUCUUUAUGGCUGUGGCCAUAGAGAAUGACAUCUUUGAGACUACUAUUAGGUUUGGGGACAUAUAAAUAUGGACUUAUGGGGAAGAAAUCUUUCCAGUUAGAUCCUUAAUUUUCAUUUUACUGGGGCUCUUUGGAAUACUUGGUGUUGACGUAUAUUUGCUUAAAAGUAAAAGGUCAGAAUAUUUAUAAUAGCACCAUCUAUUAUUAUGAAAAACUAAUUUUUAGUGUGGACCAAUAAAAAAACAAACGUAGAGUAAGAGAUGAAAAAAAAAAUUAAUUGAGCCCGGAGUCCCGUGGCUCCUUCUCGGCUCCUGUAGGGUGUUCUGGGCAUCAUUACUUGGGGUUCUUUCAUCCCCACUUGAGCUCCGAGCCACCUCUGAGACAGCUGGUAAGGAAAUCAACCUCUCUCCUUACAAAUGGACAUAACAUUUUCUUUGAGGCGAGUGAGUCACAUGCACAGCCCAUGACUGGCUCUGCCACACGUGCUUUGGACUUCAGCAAUGGUGUGCGUCUUCAAACACAUCAGAGAGAGAAGCAGGGGCGGGUGGCCAUGCUGGCAUGGCCACAGGACUGCUGUUCAUGGCUGUGCAGCUGCAGACAACUCUUCACUGUGGUUUCCAUGACUGCUGUCCGUUAUAGCAGGGUCCUGUGCGACUUAUACAACUGUAGCUAUGCAGUGGCCCAGGCUCUCAAGUGCUCUCCCUCAGACUUGGAAGAGAACCCUGCCUGGCCUGCUCAAGACCACAGCAGAUGUAUGGAAUGGGAAUCACACACUGCUGGGCCAGGAAGAGAGCUCAGUACAGUUCCAGUUGAUGAGGGACGGACAACUACUAUAUUCAGGGGGAUGAAAAAACUGGGUCAAAAGAUGGUGAGCUCGUGGUAGAAAGGAAGAUGCCAACAUCUGUAGACAAUUUCAUGGGGAGACCCUAAAAGAUAUGCUGAUAAAUAAGGGCUCAGUGUGGAAAAUGUGCCUAAAUACACAGGUCAUCACAAUGGAGGGCUAUGUUCCUUAUACACAAUACAUCUCUGUAGGCAUGACCGCUCAUUUAAAUGCUAAUGUAUGCAUAUUUUAGAAACCCUAAACACAUCCAGUAUGCUCUUCUGUACACUGGCCUGUUUGUCUUUAACGAAAUCUUGCUUUCCUAGCUAUGGCGAUGGCCCUUUCUCUCCAGCAGAAACUCAUUCACAUGGUCCCUUAACGAGGCCCAGGAGACUGUGAUGAAGAAUAACGCCAACUGGCAACUUGAUAGGCUCUGGAGUAACCAAGGAG